CCUACGGGGGGCAGCAGUGGGGAAUAUUGCACAAUGGGGGAAACCCUGAUGCAGCGACGCCGCGUGAGUGAAGAAGUAAUUCGUUACGUAAAGCUCUAUCAGCAGGGAAGAAACACUGACCUUACGGUCAGCAGACGGUACCUGAGUAAGAAGCCCCGGCUAACUACGUGCCAGCAGCCGCGGUAAUACGUAGGGGGCAAGCGUUAUCCGGAAUUACUGGGUGUAAAGGGAGCGUAGACGGUUAAGUAAGUCUGGAGUGAAAGGCCGGGGCCCAACCCCGGGACUGCUCUGGAAACUAUUGAACU
rnacentral:rRNA from 1 species